rnacentral:rRNA from 1 species
UACGAGGGGGGCGAGCGUUGUUCGGAAUUAUUGGGCGUAAAGGGUGCGUAGGCGGCCUGACAAGUCUGAUGUGAAAUCCCUGGGCUCAACCCAGGGCCUGCAUCGGAAACUGUCGGGCUUGAGUAUGGGAGAGGUGAGUGGAAUUUCCGGUGUAGCGGUGAAAUGCGUAGAUAUCGGAAGGAACACCUGUGGCGAAAGCGGCUCACUGGACCGCAACUGACGCUGAGGCGCGAAAGCUAGGGGAGCAAACAGG